rnacentral:rRNA from 1 species
CUUACCAAGGCUACGAUGGGUAGGGGUCCUGAGAGGGAGAUCCCCCACACUGGUACUGAGACACGGACCAGACUCCUACGGGAGGCAGCAGUGAGGAAUAUUGGACAAUGGGCGCAAGCCUGAUCCAGCCAUGCCGCGUGCAGGAUGACGGUCCUAUGGAUUGUAAACUGCUUUUAUACGAGAAGAAACACUCCAACGUGUUGGAGCUUGACGGUAUCGUAAGAAUAAGGAUCGGCUAACUCCGUGCCAGCAGCCGCGGUAAUACGGAGGAUCCAAGCGUUAUCCGGAAUCAUUGGGUUUAAAGGGUCCGUAGGCGGUUUAAUAAGUCAGUGGUGAAAGCCCAUCGCUCAACGGUGGAACGGCCAUUGAUACUGUUAAACUUGAAUUAUUAGGAAGUAACUAGAAUAUGUAGUGUAGCGGUGAAAUGCUUAGAGAUUACAUGGAAUACCAAUUGCGAAGGCAGGUUACUACCAAUUGAUUGACGCUGAUGGACGAAAGCGUGGGUAGCGAACAGGAUUAGAUACCCUGGUAGUCCACGCCGUAAACGAUGGAUACUAGCUGUUGGGAGCAAUCUCAGUGGCUAAGCGAAAGUGAUAAGUAUCCCACCUGGGGAGUACGUUCGCAAGAAUGAAACUCAAAGGAAUUGACGGGGGCCCGCACAAGCGGUGGAGCAUGUGGUUUAAUUCGAUGAUACGCGAGGAACCUUACCAAGGCUUAAAUGUAGAUUGACCGAUUUGGAAACAGAUCUUUCGCAAGACAAUUUACAAGGUGCUGCAUGGUUGUCGUCAGCUCGUGCCGUGAGGUGUCAGGUUAAGUCCUAUAACGAGCGCAACCCCUGUUGUUAGUUGCCAGCGAGUCAAGUCGGGAACUCUAACAAGACUGCUAGUGCAAACUGUGAGGAAGGUGGGGAUGACGUCAAAUCAUCACGGCCCUUACGCCUUGGGCUACACACGUGCUACAAUGGCCGGUACAGAGAGCAGCCACUGGGCGACCAGGAGCGAAUCUAUAAAACCGGUCACAGUUCGGAUCGGAGUCUGCAACUCGACUCCGUGAAGCUGGAAUCGCUAGUAUCGGAUAUCAGCCAUGAUCCGGUGAAUACGUUCCCGGGCCUUGUACACACCGCCCGUCAAGCCAUGGAAGCUGGGGGUGCCUGAAGUCGGUGACCGCAAGGAGCUGCCUAGGGUAAAACUGGUAACUAGGGCUAAGUCGUAACAAGGUA